AUUGAACGCUGGCGGCAUGCCUUACACAUGCAAGUCGAACGGUAACGCGGGGCAACCUGGCGACGAGUGGCGAACGGGUGAGUAAUGUAUCGGAACGUGCCCAGUUGUGGGGGAUAACUGCUCGAAAGAGCAGCUGAUACCGCAUACGACCUGAGGGUGAAAGCGGGGGAUCGCAAGACCUCGCGCAAUUGGAGCGGCCGGGAGCAGAUUAGGUAGUUGGGGGGGUAAAGGCCCACCAAGCCAACGAUCUGUAGCUGGUCUGAGAGGACGACCAGCCACACUGGGACUGAGACACGGCCCAGACUCCUACGGGAGGCAGCAGUGGGGAAUUUUGGACAAUGGGCGCAAGCCUGAUCCAGCCAUGCCGCGUGCGGGAAGAAGGCCUUCGGGUUGUAAACCGCUUUUGUCAGGGAAGAAACGCUCUGGGCUAAUACCCUGGGGUAAUGACGGUACCUGAAGAAUAAGCACCGGCUAACUACGUGCCAGCAGCCGCCGCGGUAA
rnacentral:rRNA from 1 species